AUGGUGGCAUCUCAGACACUUGGCAGCCUCAGCCACUUCAACACCUUCAGGAUCCUCCGCUCUUGAGGUUAUAUGUGCCACAACUUUACAGGGUCUUCUGCUUUGCUGACCAGAACCCAUCUCAACUAUGGAAUCAGGGCUGGCCAAAUAGCUCAAUGGAUUAAAGUGCCUGCAAGCAGUGAGACUCUGAACACCCUAAAAAAAGAAAUACAAUCAGAGUUCAUGGAAAUAAUAAAAGAAAUUUGGAUCUAAUGAUCAGAUCUGAAGUACAGUCCUUAUCUCAUCAAAGCCUGUCUGCUUUGUUGCAGAAGCUGAUAUCAACAUGUUAGCAGCAUGUUGAAACCUCUCAAGAAGUAACCAGAAUAUAACAGGAAGCACAAAGAAUGUUUGCAAAACUUGAAAAGGCCACAAAGCCUAGUGUAGCUGCUAUCAUUGAAGCCUGCUUGGGAGGAAGACUUGAGCUUGCCACUUCAUACCAAUACAGAACAGCAACAAAGGAUAAAAGAACAGUAUUAGGUGUCCUUGAAGUCUUGCUGGGGAUCUUACCUGGAUCAGGAGACACCCUAAAUCUGCCCAGAAUGCUGGGUAAACCUUCUGCUUUUUAUGUAAUGCUGACUGGUAGAAACACUCAUGGAGAAAGAGUGAAGAAAAUAGGACUGGUUGACCAACUGGUGGAACCCCUGGGACCAGGAGUCAAACCUCCAGAGGAAAGGACAAUUGGAUACCUGGAGGAAGUUGCAGUUACAUUUGCCAAAGGACUAGCUGAUAAGAUCACACCAGUGAGAAACAAGGGAUUGGUAGAAAAACUGACAUCAUAGGCCAUUAGUCAACCUUUUUUUUUUUUUUUCUUUCAAGCAACAGGUUUACAAAAAAGUGGAAGAAAAAGUGUGAAAGCCAAUCAAAGGCUUUUAUCCUACACCUCUGAAAAUAAUUGAUGCAGUAAAGACUGGAAUUGAACAAGGAAGUGAAGCUGGUUUUCUGGCUGAGUCACAGAAAUUUGGAGAGUUUGCAAUGACCAAAGAGUCAAAGGCCUUCAUGAGACUGUAUUACGGCCAAGUCCUAUGCAAGAAAAAUAAAUUUGGAGCUCAGUAGAAGGAAGGAAAUUAAACAACUGACCAUUCUUAGCACAGGCCUGGUGGGAGCUGGUGUCGCACGGGUCUCCAUGGAUAAGGGACUGAAGACCCUGCUUAUUGUUUCAGUAGCUGGGCUGUGCUGAGGACAACAGCAGGUGUUCAAAGGAUUGAAUGACAAAGUGAAGAAGAAAAUUAUAACAUCAUUUGGAAGGGACUCUUUGUUUAGCAACUUGACUGGGCAGCUUGAUUACCAGGAUUUUGAAAAGUCUGACAUGGUGAUUGAAACUGUUUGAGGACCUUAGUAUUAAUCAUAAAGUGCUCAAGGAAGUGGAAGCGGUGAUUCUAGAUCACUGUAUCUUUGCCAGUAACAUUACUGUUCUCCCAGUCAAGGAAAUUGCUGCAGUCAGCAAAAGACCUGAGAAGAUGAUUGGCCUGCUCUACUCUCCUGUGGACAAGAAGCAGCUGCUAGAGAUUGUCACAACUGAGAAAACAAGCCAGGACACAACCGCCUCCAUUGUAACAGUUGGUCUCAAGCAGGGCAAGGUCCUCAUUGUGGUUAAGGAUGGACCGGGCUUCUACACCACCAGAUGUCUUGCACCCAUGACGUCUGAAGUCAUAUGGAUCCUGCAGGAAGAAGUUGACCCUAAGAGGCUGGGUUCCCUGAUCACAGGCUUUGGUUUUCCUGUGGAUACUGCUGCCCUGGCAGAUGAAGUUGGAGUGGAUGUGGUGCAGCACGUGGCAGAAGAUCUAGGCAAGGCUUUUGGGGAGCAGUUUGGAGGUGGAAAUGCUGAACUGCUGAAACAGAUGGUGGUCAAGGGCUUCCUGGGUCACAAGUCUGGGAAGGGCUUUUACAUCUAUGGUGAGGGGGCACUCCAAGAAUAAGAAUUUGAACUCUGACAUGGAUAGUAGUUUUGCAGGUUUGAAGCUGCCUGCUAAGCCUGAGGUCGGAGACCUCCAGUACCAUGUGGUGACAAGAUUUGUCAAUGAGGCGGUUAUGUGCCUGCAGGAAGGCAUCUUGGCCACACCUGCGGAAGGAGAUAUCAGAGCAGUCUUUGGGAUCGACUUCCCUCCAUGUCUUGGAGGCCCCUUCCACUUUGUGGAUUUGUACAGUGCCCAGAUGUAGUGGACCGGCUCCAGAAGUAUGAGGCUGUCUAUGGAAAACAGUUCACCCCAUGCCAACUGCUCCUGGACCAUGCUAUCAGCACCAGCAAGAAGUUCUACCAGUGACCAGACCAUGCCCUACCCCAUCAACACUAACUCAGUGGGCCCCAGCACUGGUUGAUUCUCCAGCACUGUGUAAAGUAUCGGGAAGCAGGAGACCAAGUCUGGCUUUGGCUUGCUCCUCAAUUAAAGCUCCUUCAUCUCGACCACUUCUUCCUGGUGAAGUGUGACUGACUUAGGGUUUGUACCUCAUGUUGGAAGGUGAACCACUGUGCUCUUUGGGCCUCUUUGAGGCCCAGGGCAGCAGCUAAGAGCCAUCUGGAGCCGUGUGUGUUUCUGCUAGAGGCCAGUGGGAGCCAGAGCAUAUCUGGAGCAAGGGCAUACCUGCACCCAACCAAAUGCAGGAUAACAAUAAAAAACAGACUGUCAAAAAAACUGUGAUUUUUUUUCCAUUCCCAAUUUCUGAGGACCAGGAAUCCAGGUAUGGCUUAGCUGGUCCUCUCAUUAGGGACCUUGCAAAACUGCCAUUAAGACAUCAACACGGUCUGGGUUUCCAUCAGGAAUUGUGCAGGAAAGAUUUUCUUCCAGGCUUUAUUGUGCUGUUGGGAGAAUCCAUUGCCUUGUGCUUGCCACACUCAUGGCAGCUACAUCUUCAAAGCCUGCAGUGGAGAGAGUGAGAGAUUCUACCAAGGGUGUCCUCCUACCCUCAUGCAACACCAUACAUAAGCAUGAGCACCCC